rnacentral:rRNA from 1 species
ACCGAAACUCUAGAUCUCAUAUUUAGUUGUUUCGUUCGAAAUCUGGUAGAUUCCUUUGAAACUAUAUAUGUGCGGUGAUAAAUUAAUCGUUAGAGUUUAUAACUGUUUAACGGUUCAUAAAAAUUCUUACUACUUUGUUGGCGAUGAGGUCAGCAGAGAGUGUACAUUAAUAUUUUCUUGAAUUUAAAAAGGGGUUAAAAUUACCCAAUUUUAAUAAAAGUGUUAUAAUUUUUUUAAGUUUGUUUAAUUAAUUACAGUUAGAGACCGUUUAUUUUUAAAUUUUAGCUUUUAUAUAUUAUUAAAUAAGUAAUUUUAACAUGUUUAAUUAUUUCUCAAGUUUUGCCCGUCUGUUUAUUAAAAACAUUUCCAUAUAGAAUUAUUUAUGGUAGUACCUGCUCUAUGUUUAUUAUAAAUGGCCGCAGUAUCUUGACUGUGCGAAGGUAGCAUAAUUAAUUGCCUUGUAAUUGAAGGCUUGUCUGAAUGGUUUGACGAGGUGAAUACAAAUAUUUAACAUUUUAUUGAAAUUGAUUUUGAGGGCACAGAAUCCUCAUUAUAUUAAUUAGACGGAAAGACCCCGGGAUCUUUCUUUUUUGCCUGGGGCAGGUAUAAAUGUUUCAUUAUUAUUUUGACCCUUAUUAGAGUUUAGUGAGUUAAGUUACCCCGGGGAUAACAGUGUAAUAAUUUAUUAGAGAUCUUAUCGAAAAAAUUGUUUGCUACCUCGAUGUUGACUUAGAUAAUUAUUCUAGGCGCAGUAGUUUAGAAUUAAGGUCUGUUCGACCUAAAUUAUCUCCAU